rnacentral:lncRNA from 1 species
CGCCAUCACACCUCACCAGCUCCCUUGUAAAUGGUGCAGUUCUGCCAAGGUAGGGCCACAUUCACUCUUACUGGAAGAGCUGUGGUUUUAUAUCAAGCUGCUGAGACAAAGGAAAGAGAGAGAUAGUCCACAGAGCUCCCUAGCCCUGGACACAGAGAGGACACAGCAAGAAUGUGCAGGCUGUGAACCAGGAUGUCAGCCCUCACCAGAACAAGACCAUGCUGACACCUUGAUCUUGGACUUUCAGCCUCCAGAACUGUAAGCAAUAAAUUUCUGUUGUUUCUAAUUCACCCUGUAUCUGA